rnacentral:rRNA from 1 species
AAUUUUUCCAGGGAAUUCUGCCCAGUGAUUUUUUUUUAAAUGGCCGCAGUACCUUGACUGUGCUAAGGUAGCAUAAUCAAUUGGCUUCUAAUUAAAGUCUGGAAUGAAAGGAAAUAUGAAGUAAUUCUAUCUUAAAGGAUUUUUUUUGAAUUUAUUUAAAUGAUGAAAAUAUCAUUUUAUAGAAAAAAGACGAGAAGACCCUUAGAGUUUUGAUAUUUAUAUAUUUUUGUUGGGGCGACAGGUAAACAUAUAACUUUACGAAUUAUCAUUGAUCGAUUUUUUAUAAGAAUAAUAAAACUACCUUAGGGAUAACAGCAUUAUAUUUUUUUUUAUGAUUGUGACCUCGAUGUUGGACUAGGAACUUUAUGGCUAGCCGUCAAAAAAGAUUUGUUCUGUUCGAACAAUUUUAUCCUACGUGAUCUGAUUU